UAAUUAAGUCUCUAUUUUCUUUCAGCAGUCAACAAUCAUGCAAAGGCUACAGUAUUCUGUGUUUUGGCUCUGUUUACUGUGAUUCUGCUUGGAGUUCUCUUGUGUUACUGUUACAAGAAACGAAAGUCAAGUACAAAAAUACUAUCAGUUAUUCAUCUUUUCAAAAUAGUCUCUUUUGUCUUUAAUAAUCUCUAACAGUGAAUGGUUUAUUUCAUUCUUACUCUUGCUAUUGCAAUCAUUUCAGUGCACUCUUGCAAUGUUACUUAUAGUUAACAGAAUAUGUUAAAGGGAUCAUCAAAAUAAAGUGAAACCAAUAUGUGACUAUAUGAUUAUUUUUCCAGGAGCUGACAGCUGGUUUAAAACCAAGCCUAUAAGUUCAGAGGUGUUGGACUGCAGUACUACAGUCAUCUACUCAACUAGUGCAGUGAACCAGCACUUGUACAGAACCUGUGCAGAGCAGAUUCAAGAAACAGCUUGAAAUCAUCUCUUCCGUGAGAAUCUAACUGCAUCCUGCCGAGAAAAUAAAUAAAUAAUGAUUAAAAUUCCUAUCCUUUAACUUUCCCUUAAUCCCUUCCUGUUCUAGCUUGUAUGAUUUUAAAUGACGUCUGAAGGUGAUGAUACAUAGGGCAGCUUCUCUGGACAAUGUUGCUGGGUGAUGUUGCUUGGGUACUUUCCCAUUUGAAUGGCCAACACAUUAUUAUCUGGAUAAUUUAGAUCAGUGUGGGCCCUGUGUCUCACCUGGCUGUCUGUUGACAGCAACAUUGCUGAAAAUGUUGCCUUGUGUUUGUUGUCAAGAUUGUUGUCUUGUACCUUUAAACUUUGUAUUAGCAUUUGAGUUUAUUGCCAUUGAUGUGGGGAAUCACUUGUUGUAUUUCACAUUUGUAAGUUGCUUUGGAUAAAAGGUCUGUAAAAUAAAUACAUGUAAAUGUAAAA